AUUGAACGCUGGCGGCAGGCCUAACACAUGCAAGUCGAGCGAGCGGCGGACGGGUGAGUAAUGUAUGGGGACUGCCCGAUAGAGGCGGAUAACUACUGGAAUCGGUAGCUAAUACCGCAUACUAUUGGAUAACCCAUAUGGGAUUAGCGAGUAGGUGAGGUAAUGGCUCACCUAGGCGACGAUCCCGAGCUGGUCUGAGAGGAUGAUCAGGGCGACUGGGACUAGGACACGGCCCAGACUCCUACGGAGGCAGCAGUGGGGAAUGUGGCGCAAUGGGCACAAGCCGGAUGCAGCCAUGCCGCGUGUAUGAAGAAGGCCCUAGGGUUGUAAAGUACUUUAAGUCGUGAGGCGUUACCGACAGAAGAAGCACCGGCUAACUCCGUGCCAGCAGCCGCGGUAAUUC
rnacentral:rRNA from 1 species